AUGUUGAUGUGUCUGUUACUCUGCAUCUGUCGGCCCGAUGUCACCCCAUACCUCCAGUUUACCCUGUCAGCUCCUUCUUACCUCUCUUUUGCUCCUUCUCUGUUCUGUCUUUGCACGCCAAUGCCUUCCUCCCUGCUCCUCCCUCCAAGUGAUGGAUUCAGUCCUCUGUUUUCUUUUCCCUUUCCCCCUCUCCUCAUCCCUCUUUCCUCAAGUCUCCAACACGCUGUACAAUCAAUCAGCUGGCCCCUUCCUCCCGCCCUCCAUCCUUCCCUAAACCCCUCAGUCCCCUCUGUGGUCCCUCUUACUCCCCAGUCUACUCCUCUCUACCUUCACACCUCCUGCAUUCUCUUUAAAUCUGUAGCUUCUGACAUUGUUCACGUUCAUUCCUUUCUUUUCCUUUUCCUUUUUUUCCUCUUUAUUUCUCUGGUCAACGUAAACAUUUAUAAGCCAUUUUCAUCAAAAAGGCCUUUCUUCCCAUCUGAACUCCUCAUCAUGCACUUUCCUAAUUCUCCUCCACCUCCUACCUUCUCACUCUCAUUCGUCUCUCCGUCUUCUCUCCUCCUCCCAUGCAAUAACCCCUCCUCACCCUCUCCCUCUCUCUCUCCCCCGGUUCACCUCCUGUCCUCCUGCUCCCCUCCAUACUUCAUCUCUCCCUUCCUUCCCUUCACCUCCCGUGUCUCCUCCCUUCUCACCUCCCUGAGAGGAGGGUAUGGGAUGAGAGGACGUAAUUCAGUGACAAGGGUAUCUAUAUUUAAUAUUAAUGGGCGCAUAGGACCCUUCACUCCCGCACUCACACACUCAUAUGGACACACACGUGCUCGGUGCCAAAUAAAGAGUGAUCAAAGGCUGUGUAAGGUGCUGCGUUGUAGCCCCCAGGAUAGACGCCUUGUGGACACACACACACACACACACACACACAACACAGACGUACACUUACCCAUGGAGCGCCCGGCGCUCCAGGAUGGAUGUGGCAUCAUUAGGCAGAGGAGUGUGGCCGUUCUCAGCAGAAACGGCCGCGCCGGCGGUGCCCAUCAAUCUAGCACCGCACGCUCCCUCAGACACUGUUUCUCUCUCACACAAGCAGAGAGGCGGCGAGGGAGCGAGCAACGCACGAGAGCUGCAAGUAUUUUUGUACAAACGUAUAUACGCACACCUUGGGCCUCGUAA
ensembl:lncRNA